rnacentral:antisense_RNA from 1 species
GGGCCCAGUCGCGUCGGGCCUCCCUAGGGGGCUGCGAGUGUCAGUCGGCUCUCCGCACGUGUCCGCGGCCUCGCGGAGCAGCACUGCAAGCUAUUUGGCAUAUGAAGGUCUUGACCUGAGAAAACCAUCUUGGAUAACCACAGCAAGGAAAAGGAAAAAUGCAACACCUAGGAGAUUUCAGUAAACAGUAGAAUCAUGCCAACCUAAUCUGUGUUAAAAUGCUUGGAAUGUGGGAGCCGCUGAUGAUGCCUGUUGUCUGUGUGUCUGACUGAAUCCUUUCUUUUCUCAGAGCAGCAAAGCAAAGCCUGGGAACCAGGCCAAAUGCCUGCCACUUACCUUAAAUUGAUCAGCCACUUUGAGAUUAAAACCCCUGAAAGCUGCCACACCGUGAAAACAAGGCCUCCUUCACAUUAAAGGCAAAUUGCGACUUUG